rnacentral:rRNA from 1 species
GUAAGUCGCUCUGGAUAAGAGCAGUUUCCCACUGAAGCUAAGCAGGGUUGAGCCUGGUCAGUACCUGGAUGGGAGACCUCUGGGGAAAACUAAGGUUGCUUAGA